rnacentral:rRNA from 1 species
AGCAGCCGCGGUAAUUCCAGCUCCAAUAGCGUAUAUUAAAGUUGUUGCAGUUAAAAAGCUCGUAGUUGAAUUUCGGGAUCAAUAUUUCGGUCAUGCCGUUGGUAUGCACUGUUAUCAUUGAUUUCUCACCUUCUAAAGAACCGUAAUGCCAUUAAUUUGGUGUUACGGGGAAUUAGGACUGUUACCUUGAAAAAUUAGAGUGUUUAAAGCAGGCUCACGCUUGAAUACAUUAGCAUGGAAUAAUGAAAUAGGACAUCCGAUUCUAUUUUGUUGGUUUCUAGGAUCGAUGUAAUGAUUAAUAGGGAUAGUUGGGGGCAUUAGUAUUCAAUUGUCAGAGGUGAAAUUCUUGGAUUUAUUGAAGACUAACUACUGCGAAAGCAUUUGCCAAGGGUGUUUUCAUUAAUCAAGAACGAAAGUUAGGGGAUCGAAGACGAUCAGAUACCGUCGUAGUCUUAACCAUAAACUAUGCCGACU